rnacentral:rRNA from 1 species
CACCCGAUCCCAUCCCGAACUCGGAAG